UAUCUCUGUAGAGUCUGCAUAUCAAUAAGCGGAGGAAAAGAAACUAACUAGGAUUCCCUCAGUAACGGCGAGUGAAGCGGGAAGAGCUCAAAUUUGAAAUCUUCAAGGUUCUACCUUGACGAAUUGUAGUUUAAAGAAGUGUUUUCUGUUGGAGUUUUGGUAAAAGUUCUUUGGAAUAGGACAUCAUAGAGGGUGAGAAUCCCGUAUUUGACCAUUAUUUCCAGCUUUGUGAUACACUUUCAAAGAGUCGGAUUGUUUGGGAAUGCAGUCCAAAAUGGGUGGUAAAUUUCAUCUAAAGCUAAAUACUAGGCGAGAGACCGAUAGCGAACAAGUACCGUGAGGGAAAGAUGAAAAGAACUUUGAAAAGAGAGUUAAACAGUACGUGAAAUUGUCAAAAGGGAAGCGUUUGACACCAGUGUUGUUUUCUCGAAAAUCAAUUAAAAAUGGUGGAUUUUGUGUUGUAUUGACCUUAUCAGCUUUCUGCACUCUUUUCCUGUCUUUUUUAAUGCACUUUUCGUUUAACAAGUCAACAUCAAUUUCUUUUGUUGUAAAAGGAGUCAUUGGAAGGUGGCUUUCUUUUCGGAGAAAGUGUUUAUAGCCUUUGACUUCUGCAAUCGGAGAGAUUGAGGUCUGCAGCGUAGAUCCUUCGGGGUUAGAUACAUUUGUGCUAAGCUAUAGCCUUUCAUAGACAACUUGUUGACUAUGAUCAGUCAUGUAGCUUACUCGCUUAUGUCAUUUUACCUACGCUUAGGAUGUUGAGUAGCGACAUACGCAC
rnacentral:rRNA from 1 species